CGGUAGUCCAGUGGUUAGCACGUCGGCUUCACAGUGCAGAGGUACCGGGUUGGAUUCCAGCUCCGGCCUCCCUGUGUGGAGUUUGCAUGUUCUCCCCGGGCCUGCGUGGGUUUUCCCCGGGUGCUCCGGUUUCCUCCCACAUUCCAAAAA